rnacentral:rRNA from 1 species
UACGGAGGAUCCAAGCGUUAUCCGGAUUUAUUGGGUUUAAAGGGUGCGUAGGCGGAAUAGUAAGUCAGUGGUGAAAGCCUGUCGCUUAACGACAGAACUGCCAUUGAUACUGCUAAUCUUGAGUAUAAUUGAAGUGGGCGGAAUGUGUCGUGUAGCGGUGAAAUGCUUAGAUAUGACACAGAACACCAAUUGCGAAGGCAGCUCACUAAACUAUAACUGACGCUGAGGCACGAAAGCGUGGGGAUCAAACAGG